rnacentral:rRNA from 1 species
GACGAACGCUGGCGGCGUUCUUAACACAUGCAAGUCUAACGGAAAGGCCCUGCUUUUGUGGGUUGCUCGAGUGGCGAACGGGUGAUUAACACGUGAGUAACCUGCCCUUGACUUUGGGAUAACUUCAGGAAACUGGGGCUAAUACCGGAUAGGAGCUCCUGCUGCAUGGUGUGGGUUGGAAAGUUUCGGCGGUUGGGGAUGGACUCGCGGCUUAUCAGCUUGUUGGUGGGGUAGUGGCUUACCAAGGCUUUGACGGGUAGCCGGCCUGAGAGGGUGACCGGCCACAUUGGGACUGAGAUACGGCCCAGACGCCUACGGGAGGCAGCAGUGGGGAAUAUUGCACAAUGGGCGGAAGCCUGAUGCAGCAACGCCGCGUGCGGGAUGACGGCCUUCGGGUUGUAAACCGCUUUCGCCUGUGACGAAGCGUGAGUGACGGUAAUGGGUAAAGAAGCACCGGCUAACUACGUG